GUUCUACCCUGACGAAUUGUAGUUUAUAGAAGUGUUUUCUGUUAGUGGAGUGGCAAAAGUUCUUUGGAAUAGGACAUCAUAGAGGGUGAGAAUCCCGUAUUUGGUCAUUCCUCCUAGCGUUGUGAUACACUUUCAACGAGUCGGAUUGUUUGGGAAUGCAGUCCAAAAUGGGUGGUAAAUUUCAUCUAAAGCUAAAUAUUGGCGAGAGACCGAUAGCGAACAAGUACCGUGAGGGAAAGAUGAAAAGAACUUUGAAAAGAGAGUUAAACAGUACGUGAAAUUGUCAAAAGGGAAGCGUUUGACACCAGUGUUGUUUUUCCGAAAAUCAAUUACGAAUGUUUUAUUUUUGAGGAGUUAUGACUUCAUCGGCUUGCUCCUUUCUUUAUGAAACUUUCUU
rnacentral:rRNA from 1 species